rnacentral:lncRNA from 1 species
AUGAAAUAAAGAAAUGAAACUCGCUAAGCAGACAAAAACAGACAACUUUCUGCUUAGAAAACAGCCUUCUCGGUGGGAGAGGAUGAACUGCCAUGUCUAAGAGAAAGACUUGCCCCCGAAUUUGUAGACUCACAUCCCCACUCAAAAUGAGAAAAUUAGAAAAGGAGGAUGGAGGACGAGCACACCAAAAAGGGAUAAAAAGAGAGAAAAGGGGAGGAAAAAAAACCUACCUGCGAAGUCUUGUUUGUAGUUUUGGCCAGAAAUGGUGAGAAGAAAAAGCAUGAAGAAGCCGCGAAGUGUGGGGGAGAAAAAGGUGGAAGCGAAGAAACAGCUCCCGGAGCAAACUGUACAAAAACCUCGCCAAGAGUGUCGGGAGGCAGGACCGUUAUUCCUGCAGAGCAGGAGAGAGACGAGAGACCCUGAAACACGCGCCACCUAUCUUUGUGGGGAGGGAUAAUUGAAGCGCCCUGAGCGUACCAGAGCCAGAAAAAAAAAUGCUGCAUGGGAGCUGCAUCUUAGGGCAUGUGUAUUAGGGUGUGUGCAUGAUGAAUUUCUGGACUGGAUCCCAAUAUUAAAAAGUAGUUUGGCAUUUUAAUAAAGGGUCUCUAAGUAAAUUAAAAUAGAACACUCGGUUGGCCGAUCUCUGAAUCUCUCUACACCUCGGGGAGACCUCACUACAAAGUAAGGGAGAGUGUGUAGGGAGGCAGGAGGAGAAACGAGAAAGGCCAUAGAGAAACUUAGCAGGGAAGGGAGAGCAUGAUAUUAAACGGCAUGGGGUCUAAGUUUUGGAGUAUAUAUUUUUUGAUAUUACAAUUAAAGUAAGAUUAAAAAGAAAAGACUCCACCUUUGCUCUGAAGGGAUUGGUUAUGCAAAUAUGGAAGGGAUUUCCUGGAGAAUACAGCUUUCUACUGUAUGGUUAAUUAAAUAAUCACUCAAAAGCUUCCAACGUGACGCUUCUGUCGUAAUCCAAUCAGGUUACAUAGGUCCUAAACAAGAAAGAUAUUUUCCACAUCUGGAAGUCAGCAAUUUAGCAAGUACUGCACAUUAUUAACCAAUUCAGAGCCCACUUCCCAGGGGAAUUUUUUUGAAGUUUAAGUGUUCUUAACCAAUGCUCUGCUGUUUUGUUAAUCAAAAAGCUGGUUUACACUGCACAUAAUUGGAACUAAUAUAGAAGUAAAUAAAGACAGCCAAAUUUGA